rnacentral:rRNA from 1 species
CCUACGGGAGUCAGCAGUGAGGAAUAUUGGUCAAUGGACGAGAGUCUGAACCAGCCAAGUAGCGUGAAGGAUGACUGCCCUAUGGGUUGUAAACUUCUUUUAUAUGGGAAUAAAAUGUUCCACGUGUGGGAUUUUGUAUGUACCAUAUGAAUAAGGAUCGGCUAACUCCGUGCCAGCAGCCGCGGUAAUACGGAGGAUCCGAGCGUUAUCCGGAUUUAUUGGGUUUAAAGGGAGCGUAGGUGGAUUGUUAAGUCAGUUGUGAAAGUUUGAGGCUCAACCGUAAAAUUGCAGUUGAAACUGGCAGUCUUGAGUACAGUAGAGGUGGGCGGAAUUCGUGGUGUAGCGGUGAAAUGCUUAGAUAGCACGAAGAACUCCGAUUGCGAAGGCAGUUCACUGGACUGCAACUGACACUGAGGCUCGAAAGUGUGGGUAUCAAACAGGAUGAGAUACCCCUGUAGUC